CCAGGAGCAACUGUAUCAGCCUACCUUGAUCAUUAUUUAUUUGUUUCUCUUCCCCUUCUCUCUCUUUUUCGCCCUUCCUAGAGCCCUUUCGAUCGUUCCGGUCAUCCUCGAUCUCUCGGCCUAGCUCCGAGACGGAUUCUUCUUCUUGCGAUUUUUCCAAGGGUUUUGAUGCGCCGAUCGCUGGGCGACGUCCGAAUGUUGAUGACUCGCAGAGAUUCAUCGGAUAGCAGUGAUUCUCGAAAUGAGGAUGAUGAUGAUCUGAAAUUCUGGUAUGGCGAACAAAGGGAAGCUGCUAAGCCAAGGGGUGCAAAGCAAAAAUCUAGUGUAGCUGGCUCUCCUUCACCAAGCUAGAGAUCAACACAUGGUCGACUUGCAUGUAAUCGUGGUCUCCAUCUGCACACUAAAGGAAGACUGUCGUACUUCGGUUACAAAUUACAACCUUUCAUCAACUUUCUAAUAUGGAACUUAGUCACUAAUCCGGCCUCUUCUGUAGUUCCUAACAGCCUACCUUCACCCUUUCAUAUAACUGUGUUACAUCUAGCUAGCUGUCCCUAUCAACAUCACAGUCAAGCAAUUUCCUCACCCCAUGUCUUCUGAUGCCCAAUCAGCUUUAAGCCAUUGGAGUCCCAUCACUCUUCCUUCUCCUACUUCAAAUUUGAACUCGACUUUGGUAGACGAGCAACCUUUGGAGAACAGUGAGCAAACCUUAUUGGUACCUGCUUCUACUAUCUUUGCUAGGAUCCUAGAUGUUUUAAAAGCACCGAUUGACCCGAUUACACUCCCUACCACUCUUUACUCCAACGGUGGCCUACCCACCCACCCACUAAAAAGGACUGUCAGCCUCAACAGCCAACGACGCUCAGAAUUUCAAAACGAAGUGCAAGACUGAGGACAAAAGAGGUAAGGCCUUGGGACUAAUUGAAGACUCUCUUAAUGAAGCGGACAUCUUCUUUAUCAACUCCCUCAAGAAUGCUGAGCUCAUCAAGCUUGGCAGCCAGUGUGGACUCCUUCUCAAUCAAACCAAUCAGAUUACGGCCACUGGAAAACUUAGGGAGAUGGAGCUUCGUCGAUGCAAAAUGCCUGUUGCUCCAACCACGACUCCAUGAGACAACUACACAACUUACAGUGCUGUCUGUGUGCUUCAAAACAAACUGGCAAGGACAUGGUCACAUAGACUUUUGGUCCCUCUACUCUUUCACAAAUAUGUCUUAUGCUUUCUCCUACCCUACCAAAUCCCUAGCUUAGAAGUUUUUUUGGUUUGAAAUGUAUGCAGCUUCCAACAGCUGCUUUUCAUUGCAUCGGCCUGUACAAACACUAUCUAUCAUUAAUACAGUUCUUUAGUUUAA